AUUGGCUCAGAGGGAGUUUAAUGACUCUGCCAAGAUCUUAGUGCAAUCUGUACUUUCACUCUACAGGUUACACUUUAACAGAGCCCUGCUCUGUCUGGCUCUGUCUGCGCAGCACAGCCCUUUGGGGUACCCUGGUCCUCUGUGCUCCUCCUGUCCUCAGCGGAACUUGGCCCCUUCUUUGGAUCUGUGGCUGUCCUGGCAGGUGGGGACUCCUUCUCCAAAGAAGUCUGCAGUGAACCGAAGUCCAUCUUGCCGUCCAGCUACAAGCCUAUCAGAUGGCACCACCCACAAUCAGGAUGGGUUUUUGCCCCUCAGUUUGGUGGCCUGCCUGCCAGUCAUCUCUAGAAAUAGAGAGACACACCCAGAAGUGUGCUUCAAUAAUCUGCUAGAUGGGCCGAGUAUAUAUAUAUAUACAUACACAGCUCAAGGGCACAGCGCCUGCCUGGAAUAAGCCAGUAGGAGCCAGAGGACAGCACUCCAGAGCAAGUGUGAGGAAACUUAUGCACAUCCCCAUUUUUCCUCUUAAUCCCACUGUGGUCUGACAGCCAGUUCCUGACGCGAGUCCCUGACAGCGUGAUCAGGGGAUGAUAGGUCUCUGGGCUCCUCUCCUGUGCUGAGUGUUGAUGAUCUUGCAGAGUCCCUGCUUCCACUUCUCAGAAGAAGUGAAAAUUUACAUGCAGUAGUUCAUCCACCCCAGACUUCUUCAAUAUGGAGCUCUACUCCGAGGAAACACAGUUUUCCCACUCAUUCUGGUUAAACAGUUUGCAACAUGAGGGGUGCAGACCCUGUUUCUCUAUCAAAUACAUUUGAAUCCAUCCUAUUCA